UGCUAUACAUGACAGUCGAACGCACAGCGAAAGGUGCUUGCACCUUUCAAGUGAGUGGCGAACGGGUGAGUAACACGUGGACAACCUGCCUCAAGGCUGGGGAUAACAUUUGGAAACAGAUGCUAAUACCGAAUGAAACUUAGUGUCGCAUGAUACGAAGUUAAAAGGCGCUUUGGCGUCACCUAGAGAUGGAUCCGCGGUGCAUUAGUUAGUUGGUGGGGUAAAGGCCUACCAAGACAAUGAUGCAUAGCCGAGUUGAGAGACUGAUCGGCCACAUUGGGACUGAGACACGGCCCAAACUCCUACGGGAGGCUGCAGUAGGGAAUCUUCCACAAUGGGCGAAAGCCUGAUGGAGCAACGCCGCGUGUGUGAUGAAGGCUUUCGGGUCGUAAAGCACUGUUGUAUGGGAAGAACAGCUAGAAUAGGGAAUGAUUUUAGUUUGACGGUACCAUACCAGAAAGGGACGGCUAAAUACGUGCCAGCAGCCGCGGUAAUACGUAUGUCCCGAGCGUUAUCCGGAUUUAUUGGGCGUAAAGCGAGCGCAGACGGUUGAUUAAGUCUGAUGUGAAAGCCCGGAGCUCAACUCCGGAAUGGCAUUGGAAACUGGUUAACUUGAGUGCAGUAGAGGUAAGUGGAACUCCAUGUGUAGCGGUGGAAUGCGUAGAUAUAUGGAAGAACACCAGUGGCGAAGGCGGCUUACUGGACUGUAACUGACGUUGAGGCUCUAAAGUGUGGGUAGCAAACAGGAUUAGAUACCCUGGUAGUCCACACCGUACACGAUGAACGCUAUGUGUUAUGAGGUUUCCGCCUCCUAGUGCCGAAGCUAACGCACUAACUGCUCCUGCUGGGGAGUACGACCGCAACGUUGAAACUCAAGGAAUGGACUGCGGACCCGCACAUCAGACGUAACAUGUGGUUCUAAUUCUCAGCUUCGCGCAAAACCAUACCGAGACUGACGUCCUUUGCAGCUUAUAGAGACUGAGUGUCGUCUUCUGAUACACCGUGUCUGGUAGGGGCACGGUCGACU
rnacentral:rRNA from 1 species